GACGAACGCUGGCGGCGUGCCUAACACAUGCAAGUCGAACGGGGUAGAGAGCUUCGGUUUUCUACUUAGUGGCGGACUGGUGAGUAACGCGUGAGGAACCUGCCUUUCAGAGGGGGACAACAGUUGGAAACGACUGCUAAUACCGCAUGACACAUUCGGAUGGCAUCACCUGAAUGUCAAAGAUUUUAUCGCUGAAAGAUGGCCUCGCGUCUGAUUAGCUAGUUGGUGGGGUAACGGCCCACCAAGGCGACGAUCAGUAGCCGAACUGAGAGGUUGAUCGGCCACAUUGGGACUGAGACACGGCCCAGACUCCUACGGGAGGCAGCAGUGGGGAAUAUUGCGCAAUGGGGGCAACCCUGACGCAGCAACGCCGCGUGAAGGAUGAAGGUCUUCGGAUCGUAAACUUUUGCUUAUGGGAAGAACAAGGACGGUACCAUAGGAGAAGCCACGGGCUAAACUACGUG
rnacentral:rRNA from 1 species